ensembl:antisense 4930507D10Rik RIKEN cDNA 4930507D10 gene
AGAUCACCUGUGCCCUUCAGUCAUAAGAUGCAGGGGCAUUUUAGAGGCAUCUAUUUCUCCAUUUCUUAUUUGUUUUUUUUUUUUUUUUCAGAAUCUUAGGUAGUUCAGCCUGACCUCAAAUCACUAUCUAUCCGAGGACAACUUGAGACGUCUGAUCCUCCCUCCCUCCCAAGAGAACUCCAGUUUGGUUCCUGAAACCCACAUCAGGAAGCUCACAGCCACCUGUGAGUCCAACUCCAUGGGAUCCAACAGCCUCUUCUGGACUCUGCCAGUACCCUACACAUGUGGCAUAUACACAGAGGCCUGAGUGCAAACUGAAGGGCAGUGGGAGUGAAUUCUCUACGGGGAUGCUACCAGUGUGUGGAAGAGAAGUCAGACAUGACCACAAAAUUCAACCUCCAAAAUUUUGUGCUUCAUCUGCAAAAUGAGAAUAAUGCUGUGUGCCCUUGAGAGGCCUGGCUUUCUACCAUCUGAACUCAGGCUCCUCCCCCUGAACAUCUCUGAAACCUGUUCUCCCUGGGCUGAGAUCAUAGCUCCCCUACAGUGCUCAGAGUGGGGGUGGGGAGGAAAAAUGUUAUCCACCCAACAUCCGAAGUUAUCUUCUCCCAAAUUUCAAAGGAAGAGCUAUGCUCCAGUUGCAUGAUGGUCAGUGGAACCGUAGGGGGUAUGGCUUGUCUUCCUGAGGAAUGAGGGCACUGUCUGACGAUACUUUUGUUUUAUCGUAAGUUGGAGCAAGGGAAGUUAUUGGCCCUUGACAAGUAGCAAUCAGGAACACUGAACCCUAGAGUACACCAGUCAGCCCUCACAGCAAAUAUUCCAUCUAUCAGUUGCAAGGUAGAAACACUCACAGAAUAGAACAGCUUCAGCCUUGAUCCCUCUCUGCCUCUACCUUUUGUGUGAUGUUAGAUAGGGCACUUCAUUACUCUGGACCACAUUUAGUGUCCUGAGUCGUAGGAUAAGAUGGUUUGACUUGAUGGUCUAAAUGGCCUGUCAUUCUCGAAGUCUUUGCGUACGGUGUUGAGUCUCCCAAGUCAAAGCAAGCAUCCCCAUCUCCGUUCCCUCAACUAUAAAAUAGGACUGAAUAUCCUUACUUCAUUGCUCCUACUAUGGUAUGAGAGGAAAAGUUAACUAACAAUUAUAAAAUUGUCUUAC